GGGAGGACUUGGGUGGGCUGAGCCUUUUGCGAAGACUGGGCAGAUGCUGGAGAAUGGAGCUUGCUCCUUAGCAGACCUGUGAGAGCGGCUCAGGGAAGUCCUUCCGACCGUAGGAAAUGAGGGCGACCGGAAACCUGGAUCUUCAGGAACAAACCAAGGGCGCAAGCAAAGGGUGCACAUGCGGGUAGGCGCAAGCACUACGGCCCCUGCAGCCCUGCAGCCAGCGAGCUCGACUGUCCUUUGAGGUCCCACCUGUCCCGCACGCCUUCAGCGUCCUCCCCACUGGAGCCUCCCCUUCGCCGCUGACAGGGGUUCUUGAGGGGCGAUGAGGGCCAGGGACCGAGAAAACGUUUUGUUUUGCUUUACUUCUAGAAAAUCCUAUUUAAAUACUAAAAGACUUGGACGCCUUUGGCUCAGGUCGCGACCCUGGGGUCCCGGGAUCGAGUCCCGCAUCAGGUCCCUGCAGGGAGCCUGUUCUCUUCCUCUGCCUGGGUCUCUGCCUCUUGCUCUCUGUGUCUCUCAGGAAUAAGUAAAUAAAAUUUUUAAAAUAUGAAAUAAAUAGCAAGAGAGAAAGCUUAGAACGUGUCACGAGGAGGGCAGCGUAGCUGACUGCCCAAGUGUUCUUUUCCUCCUCUCCCCUCCUUCAGGCCAAAGAGCAGCAGGAGGCCUGAGGAGCAGAGGCCGGGCUGCCCCGUGGCGGGAAGGCAUCUGGGCCGGAGGGGCCCGGGGGACGAGCUCCUGAUGCCAAGGGAACCGGGUGCCUCGUGCGACCGGGACACUGCGGGGAGCGGGGGUACUGUUGGUGGCCACGUAGACGGGACGGGCAGGAACGGCCUCGUCCCUCCAAAUGGGCUGAACAGCCGGGGUUCACCUGCCGCACCCGGGCCCUGCGGUGCCCUCAGCGCUGCUCCCUCCCAGGGGCUCCCCGAGCUGGGGUCGGGCCGGGGAGGCAGAGGCCCUGCUGGGGACCCGCGGCGCACACCCCACGCUCCUGGCCCGGGGCAGGCUGACGGGUCGGGCUGUGCCAAGGGGGGCGAGGAGGCGCGGGAGGGCCCGAGCUGGCGCCCAGAGGCCACGAGGCGCCUUGAGUGGGCCGCGCUGUGGCUCCGCUGGCCCGGGGGGAGACCUGGCGAGGCGGCCACCGGGGAGGGCGGACGUCUGGGCUCCUGCCGUGGCUGUCAACGCUCCGAAUGGCUCUGGAUCCUCGGCCGGAGACGCCCAACCCUUUCCCUGGUCUUCCCACCAUAAAAUAUUUCUCUAAUUGUGACCUGUGGGGAAAGUCUUAGCACACAACGUGGCCUUAAAGAACAAAACACGUUACAAAAACCCCAGGCUUCCAAAUAGCCUUUUCCAUUAUUACGAUGGAAUGGGAAGAAAGGAGAAAAUAGAAGACUCCUUCAAAAUAGAAGACUCCGUCAAAAUAAAAUGUAGCUGACUUUGGCCAAAGCAGUUAUUCCCGGAAUGUCUAAUUAUUAAACCAGAGGCUAUUAUCGAAAAGUCAAGUACUUCAUUCUCUUCAUUCCGACAAGAAGCCCUCAGGAAGCUCAUUUCAGCAACAGAAGAAAGACUCCUUCUGAGGACUGUGCAAAAUUCAGUUUUAUUUGAAAGAAAAUCCUGCCAUCUCCUUGGCAAGAGCUGUAUAGCACACACAGUGUAUAAAACAGGAUGACUCAAAGGGCCCCAAUUUCCUCCUGGGGCCUCCAGGCCUCCUCCUAGGUCUGGGCCUGCUCCAACUCAACUUUAUAGGGCCUGCCGGCAACCGGGCUCACGUUCCUCUGACUCCAACAACCCUAGAUUCUCCAAUGUUGCCAUUUCUAUGAUUAUUAUUUGUAGUUAACAUUGAUUGAGCCCUGACCAUGUGAUGUGUGUGAUGCUAAGCACCUGACAUGCAUUUUCUCAUUUAAAUACCACAACAACUUUAUAAUCUCCACUUCGUAAAUGAAGAAAUGGAGGCUUGAAAAGGGAGAGUAACUUGCUUGAAAGAAAGUCUCCGUUUUGUGCCUCCUGGUGAAUCCGAGUGAAGCCCUUAGGCUUCGGUCCCUUGAGGAAGAGAAGGGAAGGAAAGAAGCCAACCUUUUUAGCAUCUACUAAGUGUCCAAUGCCAUGCUGGGCACUUUGUUUCUCAUCUCUCUUCCUCACAAUAAGCCUGGGUUAUACAAACAACCCAACUUCCUAGGAGUUCUCGGAGAGAGAGCUUCAGUCACCAGGCCAUAGCCAGGAGAUCGCUGAGUGAUUAUUGCACAGAUCACCCGUCCUAAAGAUCCCUUUCUGCAUACACCGUAAGUGUAUAGUUGACUUAAAUGCUGGCUCUGGGAUGCGGGCGGUAGGAUCUUGGGCAAGUCCCAGAGCCCUGAUAAUCCCACUAAGUAAACAAAGUCGAUGGAAGAUAACACGUAGGAAUCCUUACUACAUUCCACAUUUGCACACACACAACUCUCUCUCGUUUCUGCAGCAUCUGGCUGGUACCUCUGUCAGAGCCCUCCCCACUCGGCCAUGAUCCUUAGUGGCUUCUGUGGAGAGGUUGGGGGUGACAAGACUAUAUCGCAAGCCCCAGGAGACUACGUAGUCUAUAAAACCCAUAUCUUGGGGUGGACUUGGCACUAACCUAUUGAGGAAAUGUUGACUGUGGAGGAUCUCCUGCUGUUUUCAAUCAUAGGGACUAGAUAUGUCAUUGCAAAGUCCUGAAUCCCUUAAAGGGGCAUUUGAUCUGCUGGCCAUCUUUGGGGGACUUUAGUCUCUGUUAUUCAGAAACCCUGGCCACAAAUAGACGCCCCUCUUUAAAAUCCAAGCUGCCAAAACAAAGACCCCACUCAAAGAUCCAUUACAAUUUUCCUUUGAAAAGCUACCUCCUCCCGCAAACAUCGAGUAGAUUUUCAUUUUGGACAUCUCAACUUCAUCAAAGAUUUGGGAAAAUACAUAAAGGAAGGCACACUCAUACCCACCCCUAUGGCAUUCACCAUAGUUAGAGUUAGGUGGCCCCGGAGCGAAAGAUUUGCCUUCGUAACCCUCAAGCCAAGUAAACAAGGCCUAUCACGUAUCACGCUCAUGUGACCCACACAGACGAGAAACUCGCUGCACUGAGCCGUGAUCAACAGCGCAGGUCCGUCAGGUGGGGCAUUACAGAGGGCCAGUGUGUACAAUGACGCCCGAGUCAGUGUCACUGUGUAGAUCUAGUAUUUGGAGGAGAAAAUUUAGACCUUCGUUGUUCUUGAGCUGGGCAUGUUAGCAAUCACAGAAUGUAAGAACGGAAGUUCUCAAAGGAUGAAAAACAGUAUAACACAGUUCACUCACAAGACAUACAGUCUCACACUGGCUCUCAAAGUGUGGUUCUCUGACCGGCGGCAUCAACAUCACCUGGAGACUUGUUGGAAAUUUAAAUUCUCAGGCCUCAGAACUGGCCUGUCAGCAUCCUUCCGGCAGCCCAGUCUCAUGUCUUCCUGCAAGAGGAACACCAUGCUAGCCAACAGAAGCUAUCUGUUCACCAGGAUGCACUUCUGGAAGCAGGGCCCUGCCACAAAGCCCUUAAACAACCCUGUUGUCAUGAGUCUAGAAGCUUCUGAACAUCUAGUCAACUCCGGGAACAGGGAGGCGGAGGUCCAGGGAGAGUCGGAGAGCAUCCUGAAGGGGAGAGAGGGGGGCCAGGACCUAUGCCAGACCUGGGCCAGGCUCAGAGCAGCCUCCGCAGAUAGCACUACAGGCCCUGAGUGGAACCGAUCUCACUAGAGAGUCACUUAGACAAUUUUGAAGAAGGUAUUUCAAAGCACAGAAGCCCUUGAGACUCGGGGGGCAGAGGAGAGAGGAGCAGCAGAUGGCCCACUCACCCAGCUCUUAGGACAAUAAUGCGAUUGGCUCUGUCUCCACAGAAGGCCUCCACGUACUGAUUAGAACCAGCGUCUACUGCUCCUCGGCUGGUCUUCGCAGCCUCCACAGAGCACAACGUAGAACUUCUCUUGUUAGAAGAGCUCGGUAAAGCUUAUCCCUUGCUCCACACGUAAGUCUUGCUGUUGUUUUUAACUAAAGGAAGGAGCAUGCUAUUUGUGGUCUAAACUAACCACCUCCACUCACUGUGGGAAGCUUGUCUGAGUCACAAGGCAAUCACAGCGAGUCACUAGCACACCUGAGACCACAGGAUGACUAAUCAGGUCUUUCUGACUCCAAACACCUGCUCCUUCCGCCACAGCGUGUGGCUUUGGGACCAUCAGAAGUUUCAGAGAACUGAAC
rnacentral:lncRNA from 1 species